UACGUAGGGGGCAAGCGUUGUCCGGAUUUAUUGGGCGUAAAGAGCGUGUAGGCGGUUUGGUAGGUCCGCUGUGAAAACUCGAGCUCAACCUCGAGACGCCGGUGGAAACCAUCAGACUAGAGUCCGGAAGAGGAGAGUGGAAUUCCUGGAUGUAGCGGUGAAAUGCGCAGAUAUCAGGAAGAACACCCGUGGCUAAGGCGGCUCUCUAGUACGGUACUGACGCUGAGACGCGAAAGCGUGGGGGAGCGAACAGG
rnacentral:rRNA from 1 species